rnacentral:rRNA from 1 species
CCCUUAGAUGUUCUGGGCUGCACACGCGCUACACUGAAGGGAUCAGCGUGUUCUUUUCCUGGUCCGAAAGGAUCGGGUAACCCGCUGAACCCCCUUCGUGGUAGGGAUCGGAGCUUGCAAUUAUUCUCCGUGAACCAGGAAUUCCCAGUAAGCGCAAGUCAUAAGCUUGCGUUGAUUACGUCCCUGCCCUUUGUACACACCGCCCGUCGCUACUACCGAUUGAACGGUUUAGUGAGGGCAUCGGACUGGUCUCGGCCCGCCCUUCACCGGUGCGGCGCCGCCGGCCGGGAAGACGCUCGAACUUGAUCGUUUAGAGGAAGUAAAAGUCGUAACA